rnacentral:rRNA from 1 species
UUAGCGGCGGACGGGUGAGUAACACGUGGAUAACCUACCUAUAAGACUGGGAUAACUUCGGGAAACCGGAGCUAAUACCGGAUAAUAUUUUGAACCGCAUGGUUCAAAAGUGAAAGACGGUCUUGCUGUCACUUAUAGAUGGAUCCGCGCUGCAUUAGCUAGUUGGUAAGGUAACGGCUUACCAAGGCAACGAUGCAUAGCCGACCUGAGAGGGUGAUCGGCCACACUGGAACUGAGACACGGUCCAGACUCCUACGGGAGGCAGCAGUAGGGAAUCUUCCGCAAUGGGCGAAAGCCUGACGGAGCAACGCCGCGUGAGUGAUGAAGGUCUUCGGAUCGUAAAACUCUGUUAUUAGGGAAGAACAUAUGUGUAAGUAACUGUGCACAUCUUGACGGUACCUAAUCAGAAAGCCACGGCUAACUACGUGCCAGCAGCCGCGGUAAUACGUAGGUGGCAAGCGUUAUCCGGAAUUAUUGGGCGUAAAGCGCGCGUAGGCGGUUUUUUAAGUCUGAUGUGAAAGCCCACGGCUCAACCGUGGAGGGUCAUUGGAAACUGGAAAACUUGAGUGCAGAAGAGGAAAGUGGAAUUCCAUGUGUAGCGGUGAAAUGCGCAGAGAUAUGGAGGAACACCAGUGGCGAAGGCGACUUUCUGGUCUGUAACUGACGCUGAUGUGCGAAAGCGUGGGGAUCAAACAGGAUUAGAUACCCUGGUAGUCCACGCCGUAAACGAUGAGUGCUAAGUGUUAGGGGGUUUCCGCCCCUUAGUGCUGCAGCUAACGCAUUAAGCACUCCGCCUGGGGAGUACGACCGCAAGGUUGAAACUCAAAGGAAUUGACGGGGACCCGCACAAGCGGUGGAGCAUGUGGUUUAAUUCGAAGCAACGCGAAGAACCUUACCAAAUCUUGACAUCCUUUGACAACUCUAGAGAUAGAGCCUUCCCCUUCGGGGGACAAAGUGACAGGUGGUGCAUGGUUGUCGUCAGCUCGUGUCGUGAGAUGUUGGGUUAAGUCCCGCAACGAGCGCAACCCUUAAGCUUAGUUGCCAUCAUUAAGUUGGGCACUCUAAGUUGACUGCCGGUGACAAACCGGAGGAAGGUGGGGAUGACGUCAAAUCAUCAUGCCCCUUAUGAUUUGGGCUACACACGUGCUACAAUGGACAAUACAAAGGGCAGCGAAACCGCGAGGUCAAGCAAAUCCCAUAAAGUUGUUCUCAGUUCGGAUUGUAGUCUGCAACUCGACUACAUGAAGCUGGAAUCGCUAGUAAUCGUAGAUCAGCAUGCUACGGUGAAUACGUUCCCGGGUCUUGUACACACCGCCCGUCACACCACGAGAGUUUGUAACACCCGAAGCCGGUGGAGUAACCU